rnacentral:rRNA from 1 species
AGUGGAUGGGGAGCAACCUAGUUGUGCGUGUGUAAAGGUAGUGCCAAGAAAAGCGGUGAUCAUGAUGAAAAUCAAUUCCCGGUACCCGAAACCGACACAGGUGGGCAAGUAGAGAAUACUAAGGGGCGCGAGGUAACUCUCUCCAAGGAACUCGGCAAAAUGACCCCGUAACUUAGGGAGAAGGGGUGCCACCGAGAGGUGGUCGCAGUGAAGAGGCCCAGGCGACUGUUUAGCAAAAACAUAGGCCUCUGCAAACUCGAAAGAGGAGGUAUAGGGGCUGACGCCUGCCCAGUGCCGGAAGGUUAAAGAAGUUGGUCAGUCUUAGGAUGAAGCUAGCGACUGAAGCCCCGGUGAACGGCGGCCGUAACUAUAACGGUCCUAAGGUAGCGAAAUUCCUUGUCGGGUAAGUUCCGACCCGCACGAAAGGCGUAACGAUCUGGGCGCUGUCUCGGAGAGAGGCUCGGCGAAAUAGGAUUAUCUGUGAAGAUACGGACUACCUGCAUUUGGACAGAAAGACCCUAUGAAGCUUUACUAUAGCUUGGAAUUGUGUUCGGGCUUCCUGUGCGCAGAUAGGUGGGAGGCGUAGAAGGUAUUCUUGUGGGGAUACUGGAGCCAACGGUGAGAUACCACUCUCAGGAGGCUAGAAUUCUAACUUAAUUAAGGACAGUUUCAGGUGGGUAGUUUGACCGGGGCGGUCGCCUCCAAAAAGGUAACGGAGGCGUACAAAGGUUCCCUCAGACUGGUUGGAAAUCAGUCGAAGAGUGCAAAGGCAGAAGGGAGCUUGACUGCGAGAAGUACAGUUCGAGCAGGGUGGAAACACGGUCUUAGUGAUCCGACGGUGCUGUGUGGAAGGGCCGUCGUUCAACGGAUAAAAGUUACUCUAGGAUAACAGGCUGAUCUCCCCCAAGAGUUCACAUCGACGGGGAGGUUUGGCACCUCGAUGUCGGCUCAUCGCAACCUGGGGCGGAAGUACGUCCCAAGGGUUGGGCUGUUCGCCCAUUAAAGCGGUACGUGAGCUGGGUUCAGAACGUCGUGAGACAGUUCGGUCCAUAUCCGAUGUAGGCGUGAGAAUAUUGAGAGGAGCCUUCCUUAGUACGAGAGGACCGGGAAGGACGCACCGCUGGUGUACCUGUUAUGAUGCCAAUUGUAAACGCAGGGUAGCCAAGUGCGGAGAGGAUAACCGCUGAAAGCAUCUAAGUGGGAAGCCCACCUCAAGAUGAGUAUUCUGGUGUAAGGUCACGGGAAGACGACCCGUAAAUAGGCACGAGGUGGAAGUGCAGAGAUGUAUGAAGCCGAAGUGUACUAAUAGACCGUCGGCUUGACC